rnacentral:sRNA from 1 species
UAGUUGGUGGAAUAGUCGCACAGUCAGU